UACGUAUGAUGCAAGCGUUAUCCGGAAUGACUGGGUGUAAAGGGAGCGUAGACGGUUGUUCAAGUCUGAUGUGAAAGCCCUCGGCUUAACUGGGGGAGUGCAUUGGAAACUGAAGGACUAGAGUAUCGGAGAGGCAAGUGGAAUUCCUAGUGUAGCGGUGAAAUGCGUAGAUAUUAGGAGGAACACCAGUGGCGAAGGCGGCUUGCUGGACGAAAACUGACGUUGAGGCUCGAAAGCGUGGGGAGCAAACAGG
rnacentral:rRNA from 1 species